rnacentral:rRNA from 1 species
UACGAAGGGGGCUAGCGUUGUUCGGAAUUACUGGGCGUAAAGCGCACGUAGGCGGCCAUUUAAGUCAGGGGUGAAAUCCCGGGGCUCAACCCCGGAACUGCCUUUGAUACUGGGUGUCUCGAGUCUGGAAGAGGUGAGUGGAAUUCCGAGUGUAGAGGUGAAAUUCGUAGAUAUUCGGAGGAACACCAGUGGCGAAGGCGGCUCACUGGUCCGGUACUGACGCUGAGGUGCGAAAGCGUGGGGAGCAAACAGG